rnacentral:rRNA from 1 species
UACAGAGGGGGGGCGAGCGUUAUUUCGGAAAUUUAUUUGGGGCGUAAAAGGGGCGCGUAGGCGGCUAAGUAAAGUCUCGGGGUGAAAAUCCCCUCGGCUCAACCGAGGAACUGCCUUGGAAAACUGCUUGCUUGAGGCCGGGGAGAGGAUGGUGGAAUUCCCAGUGUAGCGGUGAAAUGCGUAGAUAUUGGGAGGAACACCGGUGGCGAAGGCGGCCAUCUGGACCGGUCCUGACGCUGAGGCGGCGAAAAGCGUGGGGAGCAAACAGG